GGAUCGGUGGCCGAGUGGCUUAAGGCAACGGUUUGCUAAACCGUCGUACUACGUAAGUUGUACCGAGGGUUCGAAUCCCUCCCGAUCCGCCA
rnacentral:tRNA from 1 species